rnacentral:rRNA from 1 species
GAUGAACGCUAGCGGCAGGCCUAACACAUGCAAGCCGAGGGGUAGCAGGAUUAAGCUUGCUUAAUUGCUGACGACCGGCGCACGGGUGCGUAACGCGUAUGCAACCUACCUUAUACUGGGGUAUAGCCCGGAGAAAUUCGGAUUAAUCCCCCAUAGUACUAAUGAAUCGCAUGGUUUAUUAGUUAAAGCAUUGCGGUAUAAGAUGGGCAUGCGUCCUAUUAGCUAGAUGGUGAGGUAACGGCUCACCAUGGCUACGAUAGGUAGGGGGCCUGAGAGGGUGGUCCCCCACACUGGUACUGAGACACGGACCAGACUCCUACGGGAGGCAGCAGUGAGGAAUAUUUGUCAAUGGGCGCAAGCCUGAACCAGCCAUGCCGCGUGCAGGAAGAAUGCCCUAUGGGUUGUAAACUGCUUUUAUUUGGGAAUAAACCUCUUUACGUGUAGAGAGCUGAAGGUACCAAAUGAAUAAGCACCGGCUAACUCCGUGCCAGCCGCCGCGGUAA